UCUCUCGCAGCUCCUCCUGCUGAAUCUGCCCGCGCCGGUGCCACCAAGGUCAAUGCCUGGGUUGACUUAGCAGGCGUCACUGAGCUCUUCAGCCUGCGUUUGCCAUUUCCAAGUUUAACCGUGUUUCACUGCCCUCUCCUGGAGCCAGAGGUUGAAUGCUGCAUUUUAGACCCUUCACUGCAGCAUUAGCAAAGAUUAAUUUCAUGUGACGGCAAAGAGGGAAGACUACUGCUCCUUCAGACCUGAGCCUGUGAGACGGACAGAGAAGAGGUGGGAAGGUACAAGAAUAUUUAACUUUGUGAUUACCUGCAAAAUAAAUAGCUGCUUAUGAAAGGAUGUGGAGAACAACAGAAAUUGAACAUAACUUGGGGUUUGGGACCUUUUGCAUUUCCUUAUUCUGGCAUUCCUACAUGGCUGGAUUUCAGUACGUUUCAGUACCAGGAGGUGGCACUGACAAUCACAGGGAUCUGCAGCAGACCUAAAAGGAAAACCAGUUGGUAAAACCUCUGUUGAUGCGAAGUAUGACUACAGCUGUGUGAGUCUUCGCAAAGGUCUCUGAUGGAUUUCCCCACGCUGUUGCUAGGAGAUGAAGAUACUGCCUAACAAAGGAUAUAUUGACAACAAAAAAAUUUUCCAGAGCAAAUCUAUCUCGUUAUGGAGAAAGAAAAAGGAGCCAAGGAGAACGUCGUCCCCUUCAUUUCCCUACAUGCAUGGUUGGGACCGACAACUUGAACUUGUGCCAGCACUACUGCAUCCCUUCCUCCAAAGCCACACGUUGGGCUGGUGGCAUCUCCUGCCUGCAUCAGCUGGCCCAGGUGGCCACCAAGGUGAGGCAGCUGUGCAGACAUGGUCUCCUCCUGCCCCACGGGAGAACAAGUGGUGUGGAAGGGAUUUAGGGCAGACGUAG
rnacentral:lncRNA from 1 species